rnacentral:rRNA from 1 species
AUUGAACGCUGGCGGCAGGCCUAACACAUGCAAGUCGAGCGAGCGGCGGACGGGUGAGUAAUGUAUGGGGAUCUGCCCGAUAGAGGGGGAUAACUACUGGAAACGGUAGCUAAUACCGCAUACUAUCGGCUGAACCCCUAUGGGAUUAGUUAGUUGGUGAGGUAAUGGCUCACCAAGGCGACGAUCCCUAGCUGGUCUGAGAGGAUGAUCAGCCACACUGGAACUGAGACACGGUCCAGACUCCUACGGGAGGCAGCAGUGGGGAAUAUUGCACAAGGGGCGCAAGCCUGAUGCAGCCAUGCCGCUUGUUUGAAGAAGGCCUUCGGGUUGUAAAGCACUUUCAGCGAGGAGGCGUUACUCGCAGAAGAAGCACCGGCUAACUCCGUGCCAGCAGCCGCGGUAAUAC